CUACGGGUCGCUGCAGUGGGGAAUUUUGGACAAUGGGGGCAACCCUGAUCCAGCCAUUCCGCGUGAGUGAAGAAGGCCUUCGGGUUGUAAAGCUCUUUCGCAAGGGAAGAAACGAUACAGUCUAAUAAGCUGUGUUAAUGACGGUACCUUGAUAAGAAGCACCGGCUAACUACGUGCCAGCAGCCGCGGUAAUACGUAGGGUGCGAGCGUUAAUCGGAAUUACUGGGCGUAAAGCGUGCGCAGGCGGUUUUGAAAGUCAGAUGUGAAAUCCCCGGGCUCAACCUGGGAACUGCGUUUGAAACUCCAAAGCUAGAGUAUAGGAGAGGGGGGUAGAAUUCCACGUGUAGCAGUGAAAUGCGUAGAGAUGUGGAGGAAUACCAAUGGCGAAGGCAGCCCCCUAGCUUAAUACUGACGCUCAUGCACGAAGGCGUGGGGAGCAAACAGGAUUAGAUACCCUAGUAGUC
rnacentral:rRNA from 1 species